AGUGGACGCUGGCGGUAGGCCUAACACAUGCAAGUCGAACGGCAGCACAGUAAGAGCUUGCUCUUACGGGUGGCGAGUGGCGGACGGGUGAGGAAUACAUCGGAAUCUACUUUUUCGUGGGGGAUAACGUAGGGAAACUUACGCUAAUACCGCAUACGACCUACGGGUGAAAGCAGGGGAUCUUCGGACCUUGCGCGAUUGAAUGAGCCGAUGUCGGAUUAGCUAGUUGGCGGGGUAAAGGCCCACCAAGGCGACGAUCCGUAGCUGGUCUGAGAGGAUGAUCAGCCACACUGGAACUGAGACACGGUCCAGACUCCUACGGGAGGAAGCAGUGGGGAAUAUUGGACAAUGGGCGCAAGCCUGAUCCAGCCAUACCGCGUGGGUGAAGAAGGCCUUCGGGUUGUAAAGCCCUUUUGUUGGGAAAGAAGAGCAGCAGGUUAAUACCCCGCUGUUCUGACGGUACCCAAAGAAUAAGCACCGGCUAACUUCGUG
rnacentral:rRNA from 1 species